GACGAACGCUGGCGGCGUGCUUAACACAUGCAAGUCGAACGGAAAGGCCCGACGUUUGUGGGUUUCUCGAGUGGCGCACGGGUGAGUGACACGUGUGUAACCUGCCCUUGACUGUGGGGUAACUUCAGGAAACUGGGGCUAAUACCGGAUAUAAUCUCCUGCUGCGUGGUGGUGAUUGGAAAGUGUCGGCGGUUGGGUAUCGUCUCGCGGCUUAUCCGCUUGUUGGUGGGGUAGUUGCUUACCAAGCCUUUGACGGGUCGCCGGCAUUGGAGGGGGACCAGCCACAUUGGGACUGCGAUACGGCCCAGAAUCCUACCGGAGGCAGCAGGGGGGAACAUUGCACAAUGGGCGGAAGCCUGUGGCAGCAACGCUGCGUGCGGGAAGACGGCCUUCGGGUUGUAAACAGCUUUCGAAUGUGCCGAAGACUGCGUGACGGUAAUGAGUCAAGAAGCACCGGCUAACUACGUG
rnacentral:rRNA from 1 species